GACAGAGGCCUCAAGCGUUAGGCGGAAUCACUGGGCUUAAAGCGUGUGUAGGCGGAUCGUUAAGUGUCUUGUGAAAUCCCACGGCUCACCCGUGGAACGGCUGGGCAUACUGGCGAUCUUGGGCCAACUAGGGGCAACUGGAACAAGCGGUGGAGCGGUGAAAUGCGUAGAUAUCAGGAGGAACACCUGUGGUGUAGACGGCUUACUGGACUAUAACUGACGCUGAGGAACGAAAGCGUGGGUAGCAAACAGG
rnacentral:rRNA from 1 species